AGCAGGAGGAGGAGAGAGAGGAGAAAGGGAAAACAGAAGCGAGGUUCAUUGAGGCUCUGAAAGCUCGGAUGAAAGAACGUCUGUCUCAGGAGAAGCUAGACCUCCCUCCUCUCUGCUACUGUGCGUCCUCCUUCUGGGACUCCCACCCCGACACCUGCGCUAACAACUGUGUCUUCCACAACAAUCCCAAAGAAUAUGUCAAGGCCUUACAUUCAACAAUGUUGAGUUUGGAUUGAAGGUGAAUGAAGCUGAUCAACUGCAGUGGACAGUGCCAGGUAGAAAUGGGAUACUUGCCGUCUGUUUGAGUUAUCAAACUCAGUCCGAUGAAAAGUUGAUAUUACAACAAGAAUAUUUAAAUCCUCAAAACUAAAAUGCCUCAAUGAUAGAAAAACUAUCACAUGAAACAUUAAACACUUUUUUUCCACAAAUGCACUCCUGGAUUGUCUACAGGACAGGCUGCCCCUGAAAUCAGCUUCCCAGUGUGGGUUUCCUGUUCACAUGCACCUCAUAGUGGGAGAAUUUUUCUGUUUGAUCGAGGGGUGGGGGUUGUCGUUAUAUCAACGAUACAUGCAAUUGUAUUCACAGUAUCAGAAAAGUGUUGAAAGGAAAUGGUGGUUUCACUACGUGCAGACGACACUUAUUGGUUAUGUGAAACAACACCAUCCCCUCCGCACCCCCAUUCACUGUGACUAUUCCUGACUUUCAGCUUCUGCGUUCACACAUAGGCUCGCCCCGACCACAAGAGGGUGCUGGCAGGAAAGAUUCUGGGUAAUUUGGGGUUAAAAAAAACAAAACCCUACAUGCAUCCCACCCUCAACAUUUCUGCCAUUUCUUUUUGCACAGGUUUUCAUACUGAUGAGUCCAUGUGACAUAUGUGAUCCCUCACUUUUCUAACUGUGUAACGCUGCCCACAAAUCCAAGUGUUCACUUGUCUUUUAACUAAAUAGAUCUGUGCACACAUUUCUAAAGACAUUUUUAUUUUUUAUUUCCUUAUGUCUUCAGUGAACCCCGACCAUACUCCCCCACCCCCAGCCUGAGUUACACUUUUUGUGGUAAACAUGGAAAAAUAUAUACUUUCUAAAAAUCACUGUUAUCACUGAAGCUUGUUAGCUUGCUGAUAUUAACUUCAACCUCAGAUACCUAUUGUGCCUCUUACAGCUUAGCUAACAGACUGUAAGAAAACAUCUCAUUAAGAAUACUCUUUCCAUGUAAUUAGUAAAAUGAGUUUAAAUACUAUUAAAUACUUUAUUAAUGAAAUGGAAUCAGGGAGGUCAGUAUGUGUAUAAACGUGAGAAUAUGCUUCUGAGUAUUUGUGGUUUGUUGUGUGGGAAUCUUAGUUAUCUGUUGUAGGUCAUGUUUUUUGUUUUGCAACACUUAAAAAAAUGAAUUAAAAACACAAUUUUUU